rnacentral:rRNA from 1 species
GGGGCACGGGGGGCCUACGGGAGGCAGCAGUGGGGAAUUUUGGACAAUGGGCGCAAGCCUGAUCCCAGCCAUGCCGCGUGUGUGAAGAAGGCCUUCGGGUUGUAAAGCACUUUCGGACGGAACGAAAUCGCGCGGGUUAACAGCCCGCGUGGAUGACGGUACCGUAAGGAAGAAGCACCGGCUAACUCCGUGCC